CAGCACAUAGUAGGCACAAAGGAAUGAAUGACAGUUAUUAUUAAGAUGCCUGGGAGAGCUGUGCCCAGCCUAUCAUGGGAGGCCUUGACCUUUGGACUCAAAAGUGGCAGCAGGUCCACACCCCCAUACAUCCUUGUUACCAAGGAAGUGUCCACAGUUUGAAGGAGCUAUGUUAAAGCACCCCAAGUCAAGAGGACUAAACCAGAUCUGGAACUCACUGACCUCCCCCCUCACCUCACUGCACCUCACCAGCCAGCUUCUUGUCAAGUGAUUAGGCUGUCAACCAGCUUCUCUAGGAUAAGGUUUCAGGUCAGCUGCGUGUAUAAGACCAGUGCCAAGCCAGAAGCAGCAGAGACAACAGUGAAUGGCAAGGAGGGGCCAUCCGAUCCCUGCUGCUACCUCCCGGAAUGGAGCCCUAGGGAGCCCCUGUGCCUCUGUCCUGGCAGGACUCACAGCCUCUCUGCUGCACUGAAGCCCAGAACUGUGAAGCAGCCUCUCUCCUUGGACCUCCUCUGGCCCCAAAGGACUGGGCGGAGCCUUCCAGGACCAUGGUUGGACUGAAGCCUUCAGAUGUGCCUCCCACCAUGACUGUGAAGUUCCUGGGGGCAGGCACAGCAGCCUGUUUUGCUGACCUCCUCACCUUUCCACUGGACACAGCUAAGGUCCGCCUGCAGAUCCAGGGGGAGAACCAGGCAGCCCAGGCAGCCCGGCUUGUGCAGUACCGUGGCGUGCUGGGCACCAUCCUGACCAUGGUACGGACCGAGGGCCCCUGCAGCCCCUACAAUGGGCUGGUUGCCGGCCUGCAGCGCCAGAUGAGCUUCGCCUCCAUCCGAAUCGGCCUCUAUGACUCUGUCAAGCAGUUCUACACUCCCAAAGGCUCAGACAACUCCAGCGUUACUACCCGGAUUUUGGCCGGCUGCACCACAGGAGCCAUGGCGGUGACCUGUGCCCAGCCCACAGACGUGGUGAAGGUCCGAUUUCAGGCCAGCAUACACCUUGGGCCUGGGAAUGACAGAAAAUACAGCGGGACUAUGGACGCCUACAGAACCAUCGCCAGGGAGGAAGGAGUCAGGGGCUUGUGGAAAGGAACUUGGCCCAAUAUCAUGAGGAAUGCCAUUGUCAACUGUGCUGAGAUGGUGACCUACGACAUCCUCAAGGAGAAGCUGCUGGACUCUCACCUGCUCACCGACAACUUCCCCUGCCACUUUGUCUCUGCCUUUGGAGCCGGCUUCUGUGCCACAGUGGUGGCCUCCCCAGUGGACGUGGUGAAGACCCGGUAUAUGAACUCACCUCCAGGCCAGUACCUCAGCCCGCUCGACUGUAUGAUAAAGAUGGUGGCCCAGGAGGGCCCCACAGCCUUCUACAAAGGAUUUACACCCGCCUUUUUGCGUUUGGGAUCCUGGAAUGUGGUGAUGUUCGUAACUUAUGAGCAGCUGCAACGGGCCCUGAUGUUAUGGGAAUCUCCAUUUUGAACAAGACAAGAAGGCCACUGGUAGCUGACAUAUCCAAAACCAUUUGAGAAUGGAAGAAAACAGUGGAUCCACACACACACGGACACAGAUCCACACGUGUUUACAGAACUGUUGUUUACUUGUUGCUGAUUCAAGAAACAGAAGUAGAAGAGGAGAAAGGAUUCUGGUCUUCAGUGCUUUGCCUUGAGAACACCUUUGUUUUGCACUGACAAGAUGGAAAAUAAAUUAUAUUAAUUUUUGAAACCCAUUAGGCAUGCCUAAUAUUUAGGCAAGAGAAAAGAAAGCAAAAUAUAUCCAUUUGGAUAAAAUGGAAGGUUGGAGACAUGUAUUCCCCGAGAAAUCUGGUUAGACAGUGAAUGAUAAGCAGGAAAGAUGGCAAGCACGAGAAAGGAGGGGCCCACAAUACAGUGGGAGAUCAGCCGAGGAGCCUGGAGGGACGCCACCCAGCACCACAGAGCUGGUGACUGCAGCCGUCACACAUGCAUCAUCAGCCUGUUUGUCAUGUGUCUGCCUCAUCGAGUCCUUUGGAUUCUAGGAAGUGCAAGGAACAAGAGAAAAAACUAAAGCCUGUGCCAAAGAAGCCCUGCUGGGCCAGUUUGAGGCUGAGACUCGCAUGUGGCGUACACCUGCUACCUGGGAGGCUGAGGCAAGAGGAUUGUUUGAGCCCAGGAGUUCGAGACUGCGAUGAGCCAAGAUUGCACCUGUGAAUAGUGACUGCACUCCAGCCUUGGCAACAGAGCAAGACUCCUUCUCUGAAACAAAACAAACAAAAACUCAUUGGAAUACAGCAGGCGCUCAGUAAGUCAUUUCCCCACUUCCCUGCUCCUUGGGAAAAAGCAAAUAUCUGUUCAUCCUCAGCACUUUCCUAAAUUUAAAUUAUAACUUGAGAUCAGUUAUGUAUAUAAACUGGAGAGUUCAUACAAAAACAAAAAAAAUUUUUGAUUUAAUGUCUGGCUUGGUUUUCAAAUAAAACCCAUAUUUUAAAAAGCUUCUGGCCAGGCUCAGUGAAUGCUCCAACUUUGAGAGGCUGAGGCGGGUAGAUCACUUGAGGUCAGGAGUUCGAAAGCAGCCUGGCCAACAUGGUGAAACACCAUCUAUACUAAUAUUACAAACAAAAAAAAAAUUAGCUGGGCGUGGUGGUGGGUACCAGUAAUCUCAGCUGCCCAGGAGGCUGAGGCAGGAGAAUCUCUUGAACCCGGGAGGCGGACGUUGCAGUGAGCUGAGCCCGUGCCACUGCACUCUAGCCUAGGCAAGACUCUGUCUCAAAAAAAAAUUACAUUAAUUACACAUUACAUUAAAAGUUUACCUUUUUAGCCAGGCAUGGUGGCACGUGCCUGUGGUCCCAACUAUCCAGGAGACUCAGGUAGGAGGAUCACUUGAGCCCAGGAGGCGGAGGUUGCCAUGAGCCAAGAUCAUACCACUGCACUGCAGCCUAGGUGAUAGAGUGACACCUUCUCUCACAGAAAAAAAAAAGAAAAAAGUUUCUUUCUUUUGACUUGACUGACAUGUGCAAAUCACUCUCAAACUCCUGGUCUCAGUUUGUAAGUUUCCAGGUCCAGGAACUAUGUCUUCCAUGAAUUUCUAUAUAGCAAUAUUAACAUACCAUCUACUCCGAGGAUACUAUUCAGGUGAUGAUUCUGAGACAGAGGGGAUAAAACAUUCUAAGAGAUAUUUUGACUGGGAUCAGGAGCCUACUAACUACCAAGUCCAGCCUUUUUUUAUUUUUUAUUUUUAAAAAUAAAGAUGGGCUUUCACCAUGAUAACCAGGCUGGUUCUGAACUUCUGACCUCAGGUAAUCCACCCACCUCAGCCUCCCAAAGUGCUAGGAUUACAGGCGUGAGCCACCACGCCCGGCCACAAAGAACACAUUUUAUUUGCCACUAUUAUAAGUAUGAAUUUUAAACAGAUUCUUGGACUGGUGGUUCAUAUCCAUCAGCUCGUUCAACUUUAGCACCUGUCUCAUCCCCAGUGGCUUUUCCAGAACUACUGCCUGCACCAUGAAGCUCCAUGAGUUUUCCCAAUUCAAACUUGGGCUUCUUCAGCAUUUUUACUUUUCUAACGAAGACAUGAUGGAGAGGAUAAACAGAUUGGCAAGCCUGUUCUAUGUCUUUCCCAAUGCUGUCUGGAAUCAAUUUAUUGACCACUUCUUUCAAGUCGUUUGUCUGCACCUCUCGGGUCAUGAUUUCCAUCAUCUUCUUCCGGAUUUGGCGGACCUGUUGGUGCUGAGCAUAAGAGGUCUUCCGUAUCUGAUUGUUGCGUUUUUUAGUAAAACCAACACUGAACAGACGAAGCAAGUAACCAUCGGUAGUCUUGACAUCAACAUGAGCUUCAAUCAUUGUCUGCCAUUUUUUGACCAUGGAACACAUUUUGUCACGGGUAAGAUCCAUGCCAUGAAGUUAGUCAGGCAGUUUUUGCCCUGAACAUCUUCAGUAAUCAGCUUGAAUUUUCUAAAUGCAACUUCAUCAUUCUGCAAAUCAGCAAGACUAACUUCAAACACUCGACCCUUGAGGCCAUCAGAUGCAAUUUUGGUUCCUUGGGUCCUGGUGACUAGCGUCUUUCCAAUAUUUCUUAUAUUGAACAUAGCGGGUGCUUUCACAUCAUACCAAUCUUUCUUAGAAAAUGGAUCAACCACUUUCU